GGAUCAAUUGAUUGGUCGUGCUAUUGUACGUACUGGUAUUAUUGAUUUCUACCUUCUGACGAACCAUGAUGUCAUUAAUUUGGUGUCUUGGGGAAUCAGGACUGUUACUUUGAAAAAAUUAGAGUGUUUAAAGCAGGUUCACGCUUGAAUACAUUAGCAUGGAAUAAUGAAAUAGGACGUUCGAUCCUAUUUUGUUGGUUUUUAGGAUCAACGUA
rnacentral:rRNA from 1 species